rnacentral:rRNA from 1 species
UACGGGGGGGGCAAGCGUUGCUCGGAAUUACUGGGCGUAAAGGGCUCGUAGGCGGCCAACUAAGUCAGACGUGAAAUCCCUCGGCUUAACCGAGGAACUGCCCUCCAAACUGCUUUGCUUGAGGCCGGGAGAGGUGAGUGGAAUUCCCAGUGUAGCGGUGAAAUGCGUAGAUAUUGGGAGGAACACCAGUGGCGAAGGCGGCUCACUGGACCGGUUCUGACGCUGAGGCGCGAAAGCGUGGGGAGCAAACGGG